rnacentral:rRNA from 1 species
GACGAACGCUGGCGGCGUGCCUAAUACAUGCAAGUAGAACGCAGUUGCGAACGGGUGAGUAACGCGUAGGUAACUGCCUCCUAGCGGGGGACAACUAUUGGAAACGAUAGCUAAUACCGCAUACUGUGAGAUGGACCUGCGUUGUAUUAGCUAGUUGGUGAGGUAAAGGCUCACCAAGGCGACGAUACAUAGCCGACCUGAGAGGUUGAGUGGCAACACUGGGACGGAGACACGGCCCAGACUCCUACGGGAGGCAGCAAUCGGGAAUCUUCGGCAAGGGACGGAAGUUUUACCAAGCAACGCCGCGGGAGGGGAGAAGGUUUUCGGUUCGUAAAGCUCUGUGGUUGGUGGAGCUGUAACUAAGCAGAAAGGUACGGCGAACUACGUGGCAGCAGCCGCGGUAAUAC